UACGAAGGGGGGCUAGCGUUGUUCGGAAUUACUGGGCGUAAAGCGCACGUAGGCGGACAUUUAAGUCAGGGGUGAAAAUCCCAGAGCUCAACUCUGGAACUGCCUUUUGAUACUGGGUGUUCUUGAGUAUGGAAGAGGUGAGUGGAAUUCCUAGUGUAGAGGUGAAAUUCGUAGAUAUUAGGAAGAACACCAGUGGCGAAGGCGGCUCACUGGUCCGGUACUGACGCUGAGGUGCGAAAGCGUGGGGAGCAAACAGG
rnacentral:rRNA from 1 species